GAUCAGAAUACAAACGGCUUAAAAAAAUCUUUCACUUUCACGUGAAGUUUUUCCGGAAAACCUCGUUUUUGUUUUCGGAAAUUUUAAUCCCAUUUUAUUGUUAUACAUCUAUUUAACCACCCGGAGUGCAUAUUUAUAUUGUCCGCGAAUAAAACGUAUUUCCGGGGCCGGGCAACGCACCUAACAAUUCGGUCGGGUCUCCGACGUGCGGGCUCGUAGUC